UACGUAGGGGGCGAGCGUUGUCCGGAAUUAUUGGGCGUAAAGAGCGUGUAGGCGGUUCGGUAAGUCUGCCGUGAAAACCUGGGGCUCAACCCUGGGCGUGCGGUGGAUACUGCCGGGCUAGAGGGUGGUAGAGGCGAGUGGAAUUGCAGGUGUAGCGGUGAAAUGCGUAGAUAUCUGCAGGAACACCCGUGGCGAAAGCGGCGCGCUGGACCACUACUGACGCUGAAGAACGAAAGCUAGGGGAGCAAACAGG
rnacentral:rRNA from 1 species